CCUACGGGAGGCAGCAGUGGGGAAUCUUCGGCAAUGGGCGCAAGCCUGACCCAGCAACGCCGCGUGAAGGAAGAAGGCUUUCGGAUUGUAAAAUUCUUUUCUCAGGGACGAAGAAAGUGACGGUACCUGAGGAAUAAGCCACGGCUAACUACGGGCCAGCCGCCGCGGUAAUACGUAGGUGGCAAGCGUUAUCCGGAUUUAUUGGGUGUAAAGGGCGUGUAGGCGGGAGCGCAAGUCAGAUGUGAAAACUCAGGGCUUAACCCUGGGCAUGCAUUUGAAACUGUGUGUCUUGAGUGCUGGAGAGGCAAGCGGAAUUCCGUGUGUAGCGGUGAAAUGCGUAGAUAUACGGAGGAACACCAGUGGCGAAGGCGGAUUGCUGGACAGUAACUGACGCUGAGGUUCGAAAGCGUGGGUAGCAAACAGGAUUAGAUACCCUGGUAGUC
rnacentral:rRNA from 1 species